rnacentral:lncRNA from 1 species
AUUGAUUGCCACUUUGCAUUACUUAUGCAGAAUUAAUGGUGGCUUUUGACAUGUUCUAGAUAAUUCCUCUCUUCGGGUUUGAUAUGCAUAUUAAGAGGAUAAAUUGUACAUGUGAUCUUGGGCAAAAUUCAGGGCUGUAGGACAUAAGAAGAGCUUCCAUUUUCUAGCUUUUCAUCCUGUAUUUCUUUCAUAGGUCAUCAAACACAGGCAUGCCAGAAUUCUGGAAAACAAAGUAAAUGGAUAUUUGUUUUUUCUCCCUCAGCCAAGACCAUCCUCAAGGAGGUUAAUGAAUGUGGCACCACAGGAAAAAUAUGCAUCAACAUUGAAAAGUAAGAUGAAUUAUUUUACCUGGUAGUAUUUUUUUUGUUAAUUAUACUUUAUUUGUUUACAUUAAUAUCCUUAUGUUGUCAGAGGUGCAUUAAGACAAUAACAGUUUUGCUCCGAAGAAAAAGUCAUUGGUGCUUUCUCCUGGAAUAUUUUCCUAUGACCUUAGUUCUCUAGAGAAGCUUGUGUGGUGAGCCUGUAGUAAUGAGAUUUGAGAGGUAAUGGGAAUGGAAUGUGAAACAAGGGAAGAGUAGGGUACCGAAGAUUCAUAAUCUGAAAAUUUUGCUUUGAACUAGCUGGGACCAGAGUAUCUACACAUAAGGUCACACCAAUUAAUUCUGAAUUUACCAAGAGUUGUUUUACAUACUGCAAAGUUUAGAAUAAUAAUAUAUAUAUAUAUAAAUAAUUUUAUUUUUACAAUGGUAUGCUUCUUUUCAAGUGUCUGCUUUUUAGAGACUUGAGUCAAUAACAAAUUAGAAAAAGUGACCUGACUUCUAAUUUUUCAAUUCUGAAAUAUUCCUAUUGUGAUGAUUAUUUUUAUGGGGUAAAAGGGAACUGAGAUCUAACCUUCUCAAUCCUAGAUAGAUUUUAAAAUCAUUUGAAGAAAUUCAAUAAUUAUUCAUGCUAAGAUUUUACUGAAAACCA